AAAGUUUGAUCCUGGCUCAGAUUGAACGCUGGCGKAAUGCUUUACAYAUGCAAGUCGAACSGCAKCACGGGAGCUUGCUCCUGGUGGCGAGUGGCGAACGGGUGAGUAAUAUAUAGGAACAUACCCMGUAAUGGGGGAUAACGCCGAGAAAUCGGUGCUAAUACCGCAUAUGCCCYAWGGGGGAAAGGAGGGGAUCCGCAAGGACCUUUCGCUUUCGGAGUGGCCGAUAUCAKAUUAGCUAGUUGGUGAGGUAAAGGCUCACYAAGGCGACGAUCUGUAGCGGGUCUGAGAGGAUGAUCCGCCACACUGGGACUGARACACGGCCCAGACUCCUACGGGAGGCAGCAGUGGGGAAUUUUGGACAAUGGGCGCAAGCCUGAUCCAKCCAUGCCGCGUGAGUGAAGAAGGCCUWCGGGUUGUAAAGCUCUUUCAGCCGGAAAGAAAUCGYCACUUCUAAUAYGAGUGGUGGAUGACGGUACCGGAAGAAGAAGCACCGGCUAACUACKUGCYAKCWGCCGCKGWAAUAYKUAGGGUGCGAGCGUUAAUCGGAAUUACUGGGCGUAAAGCGUGCGCAGGCGGUUUUGUAAGACAGAC
rnacentral:rRNA from 1 species